rnacentral:rRNA from 1 species
UACGGGGGGGGCAAGCGUUGUUCGGAAUUACUGGGCGUAAAGGGCUCGUAGGCGGCCAGCUAAGUCGGACGUGAAAUCCCCAGGCUCAACCUGGGAAUUGCGUCCGAUACUGGGUGGCUUGAAUCCGGGAGAGGGAUGCAGAAUUCCAGGUGUAGCGGUGAAAUGCGUAGAUAUCUGGAGGAAUACCGGUGGCGAAGGCGGCAUCCUGGACCGGCAUUGACGCUGAGGAGCGAAAGCCAGGGGAGCAAACGGG